UGACCAAAAGGGGAAAAGCUCACUUGAUUUGGAUUCUCAGUACUAAUGCACACCGUGAAAGCGUGGCCUAUCGAUCCUUUAACUUUACAAGUUUUAAGCUAGAGGUGUCAGAAAAGUUACCACAGGGAUAACUGGCUUGUGGCAGCCAAGCGAUCAUAGCGACGUUGCUUUUGAUCCUUCGAUGUCGGCUCUUCCUAUCAUUGUGAAGCAGUAUUCACCACGGGUCGAAUUGUUCACCCGCUAAUAGGGAACGUGAGCUGGGUUUAGACCGUCGUGAGACAGGUUAGUUUUACCCUACUGAUGAACCGAUGUUGCGACAGUAAUUCACCUUAGUACGAGAGGAACCGUUGAAUCAGAUAAUUGGUAAAUACGGUUGGCUGAAAAGCCAGUGCCGUGAAGCUACCAUCUGUAGGAUUAUGACUGAACGCCUCUAAGUCAGAAUCCAUGCUGGAAAGCAACGUCCAAUCAAUAAUAAAAGAAAAACAUUAAGGCCUAGCCUGAAGUUCACAUAAGGGGGUAAGGGAGUCUCGCAACAGAGAACAACCUAAUCCUCGAAUCGUAAUUUCGAAUUAUUAUGACACA
rnacentral:rRNA from 1 species